rnacentral:lncRNA from 1 species
GAAGAUGGACCAAGCCCCAAAAGAUCAAGAAAACAGUCAAGUAAAAAGCGAAGUGAUUGAAGAAUCGUUCAUUUUUUAAAAGGCGUUUUAGAGAUUCAAUUAAAACAUCAAAGCUUUCUUGAUCAUUUUUUCUAAAAAAAGAAUGCAAACUAGAAAACUAUUUUUUGCCAGUUUCAAAAAAUCUUUUUCAAGAUUCGAAAUGACGGUUGAAUGGUAGUCCAACAAUUCAACCGUAAUCCUUAAAAAAUAUAUUCUUUUCAUAAACUUCUGCUCCGGUUACCCCCUUGCAGCCCCCUCUCCCGCCUGAAAUAGACUCCUUUAUAUAAAUAAUAACUCAUGUUAUCCGCGAAAUGGAAGUCCUCGACUUUUAGCAAAUCCGUUUUUUCUUAAAAACGGAUUUAUGAAUAGGUAACAUCAAUGUGUAACUAAUUAGUAGUGAAUAUACAAAUUUGAAGUAGAAUGACUCGAAAUAAUGAAUAGAUAGAUGGAUCUAUUCAUUAUUUUGAUUCAUUCUACUUUAUUUUAAGUAAUAAAAUUUUGGAUUCCAAAUUCAAAAUUAUUUUAUUUUUAGUUUCAAUCCUGCCUAAACCCACGCAAAAGAAGAAAAAAAAGAUAUGGAUUUUUCAAGAUGAAUGAAAAGUCAUCUAGAGAAGCUGACUUGCCGGCCGGCCACACCCGUCCGUGUGUUAAAGCCGCAAUAGAAAGCAUAAAUCAUAAAACAUAGAAUUGUCAAGACUCCAUGAGAUGCAUUGUUUUUAUAGCUUCCUUGUUUAUAGACAAAGCUGAUUCGGAAUUUCAUUUCAAGGCAUAACUUGUCUAAUAUUCGUCGGGAGUUGCCUCCUAGAUAGAAAUCCUUUUUUUCUUAAAAACGGGCUAAGAUCAACUAUGAAUAGAAAGCAUCAAUGGGUAA